GAUGAGAACGUAGCGAAAUGCGAUAAGUAGUGUGAAUUGCAGAAUUCAGUGAAUCAUCGAAUCUUUGAACGCACAUUGCACCUCUCGGUAUUCCGGGAGGUAUGCCUGUUCGAGCGUCAUUUGUACCCUCAAGCUCUGCUUGGUGUUGGGUGUUUGUUCCGCCUCUGUGUGUGAACUCGCCUCAAAACAAUUGGCAGCCGGCGUACUUGUUUCGGAGCGCAGCACAUUUUGCGAUCCAGAUCAACGUACAGCGGCAUCCAAGAAGCCUUAUUUAACGCUCUUGACCUCGGAUCAGGUAGGGAUACCCGCUGAACUUAAGCAUAUCAAUAAGAGGAGGA
rnacentral:misc_RNA from 1 species